rnacentral:rRNA from 1 species
AUACGGAGGGUGCGAGCGUUAAUCGGAAUUACUGGGCGUAAAGCGUACGUAGGCGGUUGGUUAAGUUAGAUGUGAAAGCCCCGGGCUUAACCUGGGAACUGCAUUUAAAACUGGCGAACUAGAGUUGAGUAGAGGGGAGUGGAAUUUCAGGUGUAGCGGUGAAAUGCGUAGAGAUCUGAAGGAACACCAGUGGCGAAGGCGACUCCCUGGACUCGAACUGACGCUGAGGUACGAAAGCGUGGGUAGCAAACGGCAUUAGAUACCCCAGUAGUCC